GAUGAACGCUGGCGGCGUGCCUAAUACAUGCAAGUCGAGCGAACAGACGAGGAGCUUGCUCCUCUGACGUUAGCGGCGGACGGGUGAGUAACACGUGGAUAACCUACUUAUAAUACUGGGAUAACUUCGGGAAACCGGAGCUAAUACCAGAUAAUAUAUUGAACCGCAUGGUGCAAUAGUGAAAGACGGUUUUGCUGUCACUUAUAGAUGAAUCCGCGCCGCAUUAGCUAGUUGGUAAGGUAACGGCUCACCAAGGCGACGAUGCGUAGCCGACCUGAGAGGGUGAUCAGCCACACUGGAACUGAGACACGGUCCAGACUCCUACGGGAGGCAGCAGUGGGGAAUAUUGCACAAUGGGCGAAAGCCUGACGGAGCAACGCCGCGUGGGUGAUGAAGGUCUUCGGGUUGUAAAGCCCUGUUAUUGGGGAAGAACAACUGUGGGAUAAACUAUGGACGUCUUGACGGUACCUAAACAAUAAGCACCGGCUAACUACGUG
rnacentral:rRNA from 1 species